rnacentral:lncRNA from 1 species
CUGGGUGUGUGCUCAACCUGAAGCUGUGAGGGCUGAAUUUUUUCUCUCCUGGAGACAUUGUGAACCACAGAAGCUCCUGGUGACCUUGAAUCUACUUUCUGCUGCUGAGAAUUUACCUAUUUUGGAUGCUUCAUGAGACGAUUCCUCUUAGCAAAAGGGCACUGUGUACCCUCCAAGGCUGGAAAUGAUAGGUUUUCGGCGAGGAGUGAAAAUAUUGUGCUGACAGCCCUUUGCCUGUGUAGAGCAGGGUUGUUUACUCGCGCUGGAGCACAGCUUUAUUGAAGCAGAGAGUCAUGGUCCCAUCAUCAGGGUUGCCUAGCAACCAGUCUACGCCACUCCACAGAGUUUCAGAAUGGGCUGGACCACAAGUACCCACUUUGGGGGAUUUCCAGUGACAGUCCUACUCUCACUCCAUCACAUCGCUUCUAAAAUCUGAGUCACAUGGUUCAAAUUUCACAGUACAAAGUGUGUUCUUCAGAUCUGGGGUUCUCUCCAAAAUGGAUAAUCAUUAUUGAUUUUGUAAUGCAAUGCCAAGACCAUCAGUAAGCCUGGACCCACGCCUUCAUCAAUCUACUGUCAGGGAUAGAUUGUGCAUUUUCUGUGUCCCAGUGGGUGCCCCCCCCCCAAAAUAGAGCAGACAAAGCCUGGCCUGCGAGGGUACUGGUUUAGUUCAACAAAUAUCCAUAGAAUGCCCACUUAGGCAAAAUGGCAUAGGGCAGAUUGCCAAAAUCAGGGUUGACUCGGCCUGGAGCCAUGAAGUGGGUCCAACAGGUCUCUGAACUGAGGCAGGAGGCCCCAGGAUCCCGAGGUGUGCUGUAAAGCCUUUGAUGACAGCAUCUUGUGCCUAACACCUGACCACAUCUGAGCCACUAGAGACAGUACCUGAUAAGGAUGCAGAUGCCUGGGCCCUACCUUCCAAAGUUCUGGCUCAGUAGGUCUGGGGGAAGACCAGUAAUCUUCAUUUUAACAAAGACCACUGACGGUUCUGAUGCAGGUGGUCCAAGGACCACACCUGGAGAAACUUCCACCUCUAGGAGCAUCUGGGGUAAAAACUUCACCCAAACUUCCUAAGGUCACAACAUAUCCCCCCCAACAGAGGAAGCAGUAACUUUUGGCCACAGCCCCUAGAGAGGGGAUUUGCCUGGCGUUUCUAUACUGUCCUCUGUCCAAGGACAAAGUGUGCCUUACCCCACAACUGCUUUGUGGUUAAAAGCUUCUAUUGAGGGAUAGUUUAUUUACUUCUAGCACUAUGAAGCAAUAUAGUGAGGUUUUUGUUUCCUUUGAAUCCCAGUCAUUUUAUGCUGCAGAAAAUCUAGAGUUUUUGCCACAGUGGAGGACUCUGCUUAAGGACUACCUAUCUGGGUCUGGUAAUAGCUACCCCAACCCAACGGUCCUGAACGAGUAAUAUGGUUCGACUGUUUCCCUCCCCACCUCCAAAUCUCAUCUUGAAUUGUAGUUCCCAUAAUCCCCACGUGUUGUGGGAGGGACCUGGUGGGAGGUAAUUGAAUCAUGGGGGCGGUUAGCCUCAUGUUGUUCUCCUGAUAGUGAGUUCUCACAAGAUCUGAUGGUUUUAUAAGGGGUUUUUCCUCCUUUUGCUUGGCACUUCUUGCUGCCACCAUGUGAAGAAGGACAUAUUUGCUUCCCCUUAUGCCAUGACUGUAAGUUUCCUGAGGCCUCCUGAGCCAUGUGGAACUGUGAGUCAAUUAAACCUCUUUCCUUUAGAGAUUACCCAGUCUCAGAUAUGUCUUUAUUAGCAGAGUGAGAAUGGGCUAAUACAAUGAGAUAGAACUUAAAUCCCCUGCAUGCUCAUCAGAGGAGGCUCCAUAGAAGAUCAUGGACCUUGAACAAGGUGCAAGUAAGCCUAGAUGCAAUGCAAUGGAUUAGGGAUUCCAGGCUUGAAAACCAGUGGGAAGGAAGGGGUCAGGUGGGAGUGGUCCUCAGUUCCUGUGUGGGCUCUGGCAUCAGGCAGCACACAGGAGUCUUCCCUGCUGGUGGGGAGAGAAAGAGGCAGUAGAAGGGGUCCCGAGCUGGAAGGAUCAGCAGCCACUGCAGACUACUGAUGGAGGCAGUGCCAGGGAGGAAGAGGGUCGUGCCUAGUGGUGUCCAGGCAUUGGCAUGCAGGAGGCAGUCCAGGCACUGGUACCCGGGAGAGUUAAAACUGGGGGAAGGGAAGACAGCAGGGGAUUCUCACAAGGAAUGUGGAGCAGAGGCCCAGGCAGGGGGCCAUCAAGGUGGAGAGGACUGAACCUGGAAAUGGAAGCUUUCCAAGUCACACAUUGAAGAGUAUCAGCAAGGUCUUAAGCCCUGGAACAGUGAGGGAUGGCAUCAGGACAAACUGAGGUCAGUGAGUGUGUUGGCAGCGGACCAGGCUCCGAACGGCACAAACUCCGUCUGGGAUGGGGAAUCUAGCAGAAGACCUAGGAAGAAUUUGAAGAGGGUUCAGAGGUGAAUUAGGGAUGCUUGUAGCUUUUGUGUGGGCAGUGCGUUACUGGGGUGUAGUCCUCAUUGAAGGCCCAAGAUUCUGCCUCUAAGGGUGUAACUCUGCUGAAUCCAGCACCUGAGAGGCUGUCCAGAGCAGGCAGGAGGUCAGCUGUCAGGCUGUGGGCCCAGUUUUAGAGUCAAAUUGAAUUUCCAGUGGGGAAGACCAAAGCUGAAGUCCAUCCCCCAGAGGAUGAGAGAAAGGAAGGCUGCAGCUCAGGCAGCUCAGGGAGUCUGAGGCAGCAAACGAGCUCUGGACCUUGAAGUGGGGAGAGGAAGUCCUUUCACCUCAUCACAGUGCUCACAUCACCUCAGAAACCAGGUGGGACACACAGCUGUGACAGGUGAGAGAUGAUUCCAUUGGUGCCUGGGAUACCAGAUUCAUGCUGGGAAGUAGGAUGGAUGUGGUGGUUUGCAAAAGGCUUUGUCUGCUAAAUUGAGGAUACUGGAUCAUACCCCAAGAGAAAGGGGAGCUCCAAUGGAAAAGCCACCUGCAUCAUGAUGCUGCCUGUCACUUGACUGAGCGUUCCUGCUGCCCAGAAGCUCCUGUUGUCCUCCCAACUGACGGGAUGCUCUUGGACAGUGAUGCCAGCUGGAAUUAAGACUGGGUUUCCAAGGCCACUGUGACCACCAUGAUUAAUGUGAGUAUCGCCAGGUCUUCUCCACACAGGCCCCCUCAGCAUGGUUGUCCCCAAAGCCCUGACCCCAGCUUUUCCUGGUUUUCUGCUUCCUUUAGCAAUCCCUACUGCUAGGGCUCCAACAUGCCUCAGCCAGAAAGCUGUCAUCUCUUUCCUGGGAACAUUCCUUAAGAAAGAACCAUCAUGGGGUUGGAUGAAACUAAACUUGCAAAGAAGGUGAUGUGUAACCAAGUUGGAGUGUGGAGUGUGGGGUCAAAGAUGAUGGCAUUCUGUGUGGAUCCGCAGUGGUAGGAAUGGAGGUGAGGAGGAAGAAAUGAAUCCAGGAGGCAGCGUGACAGAAAACACAGACUUUGGUGACGACAUGUGAGAAGCUGUAAACUGAUAAGAAGAAAAGACGUCUCCAGCACGUUUGGGUUAGUGUCAUCAACCCAUGGAUCCUGCCCACAGCAAGACUUGGCCCAGUCACAACCCCCUUUCUAGCAAUGUGGAGAUAAAUGUCUUCAACAGAAAGGGUUGGGAAUCCCAUGUGACAGCCGAGCUCUGUUCUGCCUUUGACAGAGUCUGAUGCGAAGUGGAUCAUCUCAGGGAUGUGCCUUGCUGGCUUCACCCACCUGGAGCCUCAGGGGAAGUCUCAGGUGGGAGAUGUUAAUUUGAGAGGCCUGGGUAUAAAAGUAAUCCCAAGAUGUCACAAGAUAGAAUACUUUCUCUGAGGCACAAACAGGGAGAAAAACAAGAACAGAACCCCUUAGCAGGACACUCAUAAUAAGAAGAAUUAGGAAAAGAAAAGGGAACCCGGGGUGACACAAAACUGGGGGAGUCUGUUACCACAAGGUAGAUGGCUACCUCCAGUUGGACAAAUUUCCAUGGACCACCAUGCAAUUUCUGGAGAUGCCGCCUUUGAUCCCCUCUUCUCCCUUUGCUCCUCCCUCAUCUCCACACUCAAAGUGCACAUUAUUCAGAUGUCCAGCACGCCCCUAAAUCAACUUGACUUCUCUUGUUCCUUGGCAGAUUCAAGGACCAGCCUUCAUUGGAUUUGGGGUGGAAGCUACAUGCUUGUGUCAAGGGUUGUAAUCCCAAGUCUGGUCCUGUUUUCUGCAAACAAUAUCAUUGUAAACACAUUGAAUGUGUCUGAAUGGGAUUCACAUAACCUAUUCAAAGGUUAAUAUCACAAGACUGAUACUGAGCUGGAAGCUCUGAAAUGUACUUGUGCUCAGGGAAGAUAUUUGCUAAUGUUUGGCUUUAAUUUCCCCUGGAACUUGUACACAUCAGUGAGGCCUGGGGAUAAUGAAUAACAGCAUGGACAAUAAAUUUUAAAACAAACAAAAUAAAAACUCAAAGAACAUUAAUGCAGACCAGUGCUGGGAUAUGAUGUGUGUUACAAGAGAGUAAUGAUUACUCUUGGUGAGCAGAUUCUAUUAUCUGCUUCUUAGGAGCAAUAGGUGGCUGCCUCUUGAUUGUAUUAGUCCUGGAGUUAUAAAAUCCUCAGUCCUUUACAAUGCAAAAGUGACACAUGGGGCGAGUAAGCAGGUAAGAGAAGGAGCAAUUGGAGGAAGAGAAAUGAGAUCUGUGGCAGGGGCUAUUGGCUUUCCACUAAAACCCAUUCUCUACUUCUUGCUGGGCAAGAACUAGGCAGUAUUUACCAGCCCCUCUUGCAUUUGGGGUGGCCACAAACGAAUUCUGGCCAGUGGAGUGAGGGGCUUCUCAGACAGCAGCCUGCCCCUUCCACACUCCUGUUCCCCUUGCAGUGGCUCAAAGCCCUUGGGUGAUGAUGGAGCCAUAGCUGGAAGAAGCCUGGGUCCCUGGGUCCCCCGUGGAGCCUCCACGCGGGAAGGUGGUCUAGAAAUACACUUCCAUAUUUCAGCCAGCAUGCCUUGGGAUCUUUUUUUAAUGGUGGUUCAGCCUACCCUAACUAAAGCUGGGCCCACUCAGCACGCCCCACACAGGGAUUCUGAAAUGGGAGCAGGGUCCACCAAAACUCUGCUUUUCAGAGAGCUCACACCCUAGGGGAGUAUAAAAGUGACGAGGACACUGGAGCUGGCAGGCAAGACCCAGGAUGCCAAAAUUAGGGCCCCUAAACACAGCAGGGAGGGUGAGCUAUCCUCUUGUGAGGUGGGAGGAGGGUCUCCGUGAGCAGGGCUCUUCUUGGGCCAAACCUGGAUCAUGAGGAGGAGGGAGAGAUGCUGAAUAUGACAUGUCAUUCAAAGUGCUGUCUGGAAAUUUGAGUUCGUUUCUUCAGUAGAGGCAGCACAGGUUAAUCAGACAAACCAGCCAUCAACAGGCUUCCUUUGAGGAGCUUGGUAAGAAUGGAAAACCCAGGGCUGAGGGGCUUACAGAGCUUACAGAGCAGCACAGUAUCAGGGGCCCAAGGCACCAGGAGCUCCUCUGGAAAUUGGCGGGAACAGCUGGAGCAAAGCCGAGGUGAUGGUACCCCUGGUGGCGGGACGGCAGCGACCCUCCAUGGUAUAAGGAGUGGUGAGACCCCAAGGGACAGUGUGCAAGGACUCUGAUGGCAGCAACACUCCUCUAGGAGCUGAUGAGAAAGGCCUGGAAUCCCAAGAUGCACCCCUGAGGUUCAACUCCUACCCUGAUCAUCUCCUCCAAGAUUCUGUGACCUGGGGAAGUCAACAGUACAUUUCAACACCUAUGAUGUCAGCAUGUGAAUGACAUUCCAAUGCUGCUCAUGGGGUCACCCCUGCAAAGGUGAACUCAGUGGAAAGACCUUGCCAAACCGGAAGGAAAACAGGAUACUUUUCUCCAAAAUACUCAUUCAAUAAAUAUUUGCUUAGGCAUUACAAAGACAAAUAAGACUUGCCCCUACCUGUUAGAGGUAUGUAUGUCGAGAAAAGGAAGGAGUGAUUCAAUAAGAGAAACAGCAUUCAGGGAAGAGAAAGAAGGAAGACAUAAAAAUUCAGGUCAUAUUAGAAUAAUAUAUAUAACAAUGAGUUUGGCUAUAUUUCAGAAUUUUCCCAAAAUAUUUCUUUCAAAUUUGAUUGACAUUCUAAACUAUUUAGCUUGAUAUAAAUGAGAUCUUUGUGUACCCUCAGCAGGAACUGCAUUUUAGCUGGUUUUAAAUCUCAACAAUCACUUUCCUGCCUUGGAGAAGGUAUGAACCAGGCUGUUUAUGUAGAAUCCAGGUGGGUUUGAGAGCAGCUUCAGCUGAAUGGAGAGUGACAGGGAGGCUGAGGAAGGGAGGGAGGGGACCCAUGGGCUGUCAUACCCGGGGACUUAGGAAGGCUCUUGCUCUUGCUGGAAGGGUUGCAAAUCCCUAAACCAAGUAAUCCCAUCCCUAAACCAAGUAAUCCCAUUAAAACAUGAAACAUCCAGAGUAAAAUUAAGUUUAGAAUACUAUUUGCAAAGCCAAACAUAGUCUUACCAUAGGAUCCAGGCAUCACACUCCUUGGUAUUUACCCAAAUGGGUUGGAAACUUCCAUAUAAAAAUCUGCACACAGGCCGGGUACGGUGGCUCACGCCUGUAAUCUCAGCACUUUGGGAGGCUGAGGCGGAUGGAUCACCUGAGGUCGGGAGUUCAAGACCAGCCUGACCAACAUGGAGAAACCCUAUCUCUGCUAAAAAUACAAAAUUAGCCAGGCGUGGUGGCACAUGCCUGUAAUACCAGCUACUCAAGGGGCUGAUGCAGGAGAAUUGCUUGAACCCAGGAGGCAGAGGUUGCGGUGAGCCGAGAUUGUGCCAUUGCACUCCAGCCUGGGCAACAAGAGUGAAACUCUGUCUCAUAAAAUAAAUAAAUAAAUAAAUAUAAACCUACACACAGGCCAGGCAGGGUGGCUCACCCUGUAAUCUCAGCACUUUGGGAGGCCGAGGCGGGUGGGGUGGAUCACGAGGUCAGGAGAUCAAGACCAACUUGGCCAAGACGGUGAAACCUCAUCUCUACUAAUAAUACAAAAAUUAGCUGGGCAUGGUGGCACAUGCCUGUAAUCCCAGCUACUCAGGAGGCUGAGACAGGAGAACCGCUUGAACCAGGGAGUCGGAAGUUGUGGUGAGCCGAGAUCACACCACUGCACUCCAGCCUGGUGACAGAGUGAGACUCUGUCUAAAAAAAAAACCUGCACACAAAUAUUCAUGGUAGCUUUAUUCAUACUUGCCAAAACCUGGAAGCAACCAAGAUGUCCUUCAAUAGGUGAAUGGGUAAAUAAACUGUGGUACAUCCAGACAAUGCAAUAUUAUUUGGUGAUUAAAAAAAAAGAAAUGAGUUAAAAUCUUGGAUUUCUUUUUUUUAAAUGAGUUAUAAAGCCACAGAAAGACCUUAAAUACAUAUUGUUAAGUGAAAGAAGCCAGCCUGCAAAGCUACAUCUAUACAUGACUGUAUGACAUUCUAGAAAAGGCAAAACUAUAGAGACAGUGAAAACAUCAGGGAUUGCCAGGGGUUAAGAGGGAAGGAAGGAUGAAAAGGCAGAGGACAGAGGAUUUUAAGGCCGGUGAAACAAUUCUAUAUCAUACCAGAAUGGUGGAUAUAUGGGCUGGGGCUCAGAAAACAAUACCCCCAAAUGAAUGCCUCAGAAGCAAAAGUUUCUCCUGCCCUCCCAUCCCUGACCUCAUUCUCCCCCAAGGUUAGCCAUAGAAACCAGAAGUCCUCUUUCCCAAGGUGGGUCAUAGAAACUUCCAAACCCCUUUUCCCCAAAGCCAGUCAUAAAACCUAAAAAUAUGACUCUAACUUCCACCCCCACCCCACCACCUUUCUGUGUAAAAAUGUGUCAUAAGGAAAUCAUCUAACCUGCCUUGUUUGGUUGUCGGUCGUAAGACCCCCAUUCGAGAGAGGGCCCUGCCCCGUACCCAGCAGGAAGCAAUGCUGCCCAGAGAGGCCACGAGGAAUCUAGACAGGGCUUGCUGGGGGGCCCCACUCACUCUAUGAGCAUUAGCUCAUUCCCUUUUUUGUCCAAUCACAUUUCUAAAUAUUUUGUUGCACCUAAGCUUAAAAGUGGGCAGAGUCCCCUGCAUCUCUGGGUCUUCGUUCUGAAGGCUCCCCUGUCAUGUAACACUAUGACCAAAUAGAUGUGUGUGCCUUUUCUCCUAUUCAUCUGCCUUUUGUCUGUUAAUUUUCAGUGAAACUUCAGAGGGUGAAGGGGAAGUUUUCCUUGGCCCCUACACGUGUCAUUACAAACCCAUAGAAUGUACAAUGCCAAGAGUGGACCUUAGUGCAAGCCAGGGACAUUAGUCAGUAAUAAUGUUCCACGCUGACGCACAAAUGAAAGUUAUUUUAUUUGUGUGAACAGGAGAGCUGACAUGGUCUGUAUUGAUAUCUCCUGGGCAGGGAGGUGGUGAGCACGGCCCCAGAAUUCUGAACUGCCAGGAGCCAGGCAGCUUUGCAUCCUGGAGCUUGGCCAAUUCAGCCGCCCAAGUUCUGGCCAUGGGUCUGCAGCCCCCUGGCCCUUGCCUGCAUAAGCAGGAGAUGAAUGAGAGGAAGCAGAACUCACACAGGAGGCAGGAGGAAGCCACCAGGAAGCUCACUGGCUCCAGGGGCAGCAGAUCUGGGAUGGGGUCCCAGUUCUCUCCUUCCUCAUUCAUGAAAUGGGGCAAUAACAGUACUUACUUCAUUGGAGGUUCUUGGAGGGAAUAAAAGAGAUAUUAGUUAAAGGCAUGGAGCACAGUCCCUGGCACACUGAAAAAGUUUCAUAAAUGUUACCAAUUAAUUGUUUGUAUUAUAUAAUGUCUUCCUGAUAGGUUUUUGGGAAGGAAUAAAUCAAAGGUGAGAAAAUAUAUACAAAAACCUGACUGAGCGAGAACAUAGCUUACACACAAGAAGUGGCAGCUUGGUGAGCACACUGCUAUGUCAUGUUGUGCCUAGUCAUGACAUAGCCAAGGACUGAUACAGGCGCUCCCAUAACCCAUGGAUGGAUUCCUGCUGGACUCUAUUCAUGAAGGUUCUGAUUCUAAUUUUUUUAAAUCCAUGGAUAAAACAGCUACCAGAAAAUCCCAUUUGGGUUUGCAUGUUGUUCUUUGGCUUCGGUGGACAGCAAUCAUAUCAGUUGCAUUUCCCGAGCUAGAGCUCUGAGGCUUAGUCAUCCCCCUCCCUGGCUGGCUUCCAUGCUGUCUGCAGUGGGAGCAUCUUUUAUGAGAUGACAGGAGGGGACUUCAUGGAUGUGCAGCCUGGGCUGCUGGUACUGCCGGGGCUGCUGGUACUGCUGGGACUGCAGGAGAGGGAUGGUUUCUAUUAAUCCUCACAAUGGGAGGGUCCAGUGGGCUGUCACAGCACAGGCAGGGAAUCACAGGCCUCCCUGGGUGACCAGCUGUCCUGGCUGCUACCAGAUUCGGACUCCAGCAGGCUUUCCCUGGGGGCAGAGAUGACCUUGAUCUCUGGGCAGCUAGGCUUCAUGUCCUUGAUAUUUGUGGCCCUGCAUUGUUGGGGCACAGGAUGCAGAGCUGGGGAUGACUGAGCUUAAACUCCUGCUGCUAUGGAGGGCUGCCUCCUUGCCCUGAAUGCCCUGGGAGCCCUUUUAAAAACACAGGUCCAAGGAGUGAUAACAUGAGGGGCAGCACCUCUGGCCCCUGAGAGAGAAACUUGUCCAGUGAUAUGUGCACAAGCAACAUCUCCAGGCAUUCCUUCCAGACAAGGCAAGAGGCCCCCCAGGUGUGAUAUGUUAGCUACACAUGGGCUUGGUCUGUACUGCAAAUGUGUACUCAGUGAUGGGGCCAUUAGAUAUUUGGUUUCUACAUUGCUGCGAUGAAAAUUUACAAAGAACGUUCAUGGGGAAACCAGCUCCCAUCCAUGGGCAGCAGAGGAAUGUUGUCCAAGACUUACAUGGACAGGUAAGACUAAGGUCUCAUCCCAUACUCAGCAGUUCUGUGACCUUUUACAGAACAUAGGGAGGCAAGAAGGGAAAUGAGCCUUAGUUAGCCUCAGGGAGAACCAAGCCAGGUCUGUUUAGGGUCACCACCUUCACUGAACUGCCCUCCACUGGAGGCUAGGAACUGCAGGACAUGAGUUCAACAUCAAAAUAGUAAAAAUAGUGGCAAAUGUUUAGCAGUGUUUGCAACAUAUCAGGUGUCACAGCAACCUCUGCAGGAGAGGUGAGCAGGGCUAAUAUUUAGCAGGUGCACCCUUGUACUGGCUGCCUGCCAUUUAAUAGGUUAGUGCCUCAGCUGGUUAUUGAAUAUUUUCAACAUCGGCCCUGGGUACUAAGAUUAGUUCCCAUUUUACUGAUUAGGAAAUCGAGGUUAAGAGAGGGUAGGCGAUUUGCCUGAGAUCACACAGCCUCGUGUGUGGCAGAGCCUUAGAUUCCAAGCCAGGCUGUCCGAUGCCAGACCUUCACAGCUAUCCUAUGCUUCCACGGCACCCCGGACUUCCCCUUGGAGCACUUGCCAGUGAAACAAACAUGCCCUGGAGAAAUGCCUGGGUUAUGUGAAGUUGGCAGUUCCCAAGGGCUUUAGGCUUGAAGCUGUGGGUCAUACCCCUUCGGAAACUUGGUCCCCAAGAGAAAUGUAUGCUUCUGAAAACCACAGGUGCAUGAAUCGUGUUUAGUAAAUGACUACUAAACUGAAAUCAGGACUUGUCUAUAUCUUGGCUUCUCAAACUUGAAUAUGCUUAUCAUCUGGAUAGCAAAAGCAUUCCUACACGUUGAGGCCUGCCAGCGUGGGUGUCACCCAGGAGCCACUCGGAAAGGCUCAUCGGAAACCACCCCGGACUGACUGAGGCAGAAUCUCUGGGGGCAGGACCCAGGCCUCAGCAUAAAAACUCCAGGUGACGGAAGAGCUCCCACCUAACAGGUGUGUUGGCAUUGUUGUAGGUGACUGACGUAGUUUCCCAUCUCACAACUCUACCUCCAUGAAGAAAAGUCAUGGAAAAUUGAGACUUUGGGCUGAGUGUGGCUCAUCCCUGUAAUCUUAGUGCUUUGGGAGGCUGAGGUAGGAGGAUCGCUUGAGGCCAGGAAUUUGAGGCCAGCCUGAGCAACAUAGUGUCUCUUCAAAAAACUAAGUUUAUUCUUUCCUCUUUUUUAGUUUUUAUUUUACACGGCUCACUGUGGCUUUGACCUCCCAUGCUGAAGCGAUCCUCCUAUCUCAACCUCUCAAGUAGCUGGAAGCACAGGCAUGCACCACCACACCUGGCUAAUUUUUUUCUUCCUUUUUUAAAGAGACAGUCUUGCCAUGUUGCCCAGGCCCUGUUGACCAGGAAAAAAAAAAGUUUUUUUUCUUUUUUAAAGAAAGAAAAUAAAAGAGACUGAGAAACCACAGAAAUAAAGAAGCGCUGAUGACAAUGCCUGCUUGCUGAUGGUUACGAUGAUCAUAGCAGUGUGCAUUUUGUAUGCAUGAAGCCUGCGACUAAAUAAACGUGUGGGGAAAUAUUUGUAAGGAAAUAAGCUAUUAAUAAAAUAAGCUAAAAUCACAGUUGCUGGACUAUGACUGAUUUUUCCCCUUUCUCUCAUUUAAAAUUAAAUAUUUGUAUGACUUGUAUAAUAGAAAAAUACAUGUAUUCAAUCUUAAAAAGAUAUUCUUAUUUUACACUUUACGGGACAAAAGAGGUUGUAGGUUGGAAUGGUUCAGUCCCCUUGUGACAACUCAAAAACAGAGACCUUAAGCCUUUCUCAACCAAUGUUGCGGGACAAGCAGGCGUGUGAGGCGACAAUGCCAUUAGGGUAUUUUUUGGAAAAAUUUUAGUGUGAGAGACAAAAGCCAAAUUCAAACUGGCCUGAGCCAAAAUAGGUAGGAAAGGGAGAAGCGGAGACAGGGAGGAAGAAAGAGAGAGAACAGAAAGAAAAAGGGAGAAAUGUCGAAAGGCAAAAUUACAACACAUUUAGUUAAAUGAUUGAAUUGGUUUUUAUUUGUAAUUCAUGAAUUGGGGCAGCAUCUCCUCUAAAACUUUAGGAAAAGUGCUCUGAUGAGCUAAACAGAGAAGCUUGGCUUUAUAGGCAGAAAAGGGUGAAGAAAGCAGACACAGGGAACAAAAAGCAGAUUGGUAAGCUCAGGUUACUUCAGGUUACUUUCCUUAUAAAGGUUAAAGUAGAGGGGACUUCCUUAUCAUGCUGGCUACAACUGGCCUGUUUGGGGAUUUGCAUAUUAUCUCUCUCUGUCUUGAGUUCUGGGAAGGUCUGAUGACUUAGUUUCAGUUUGGUGAUAUGGAACUUAGCAUGAGUGACUCCAUCUUGGUUUGGUCUACUGGGGCCUCCUGCAGGAGCUCAGCCCAAAUCAGUGACCUCCUAUAAAUUUCAUUUAAUAGAAAAGGAAGGAAGGAAGGAAGGAAGGAAGGAAGGAAGGAAGGAAGGAAGGAAGGGAGGGAGGGAGGGAGGGAGGGAGGGAGGAAGGGAGGAAAGAAGGAAGGAAAGAAAGAAAGUUGCUUAUAAGUUGCUUAUAACUAAAAAGACCAGCUGGACCCAGGAGCUCUGAGGUUGCUUUCAGGCCUCUGUCCAUCUCUUAGUUUUCCAUCCUCAGACAGGCUCUGCCCUGCCUUACAGUCUAGCAUUGUUGGCCAAAGGUGACUGACUGGCCCAGCUUGGGCUAUAUGUCCUUCCCUGUGGCCAGAGAGAUGUGUCUCUGUGAUGGCCAGGCUUGGGUCACGUACUCCCUCCCCUACCAGAAUCACAUGAAAAGAGGGAGGAAGAGCCGCUUUCCACCAAAGGAAACUGAAGUGCUAUUGUCAGAGGGGUUGCUGGGCAGACCAAAAAGAUGACAAUAUCUGCUCCAAUCGCUCGGGUUGUUGGUGCUUGGCAGAUUUGCCCCUACGUCACUUUUCAGAUGUGGAUAAGACUGAAGGUGACCACAGGCUUCCGAGAGGAAAGCUGCCAAUGGGGGUGUGAGAGGAGGGGGAAUUCUUACUCACCAAGGUUAACACUGUGCACACUGUUCUCCGAGGAAGUGGGAAUUUCCACAUGGUGAGUUCCCUUCCCUGUACAAUGAAUUACUAUCUUGAUGAGAAACCCGUGGGCAGCUGGUUGAGAAGAGAAAGGUAUUCUCUGAAUGAGAGGGAAUUUACCACCUUCCUUUCAAUGGUGACAGUUUUUUCUGGUGUCACCGCAGGGUGUGGAUUGAUUCAUAUACAAAUAUACAUAUCUACAUAGAUGCCAUUCUGCUAGCCUCUGCAAAAUGCAUGCCUGGAGACCAUUUCUGCUGCCUAGGAGAUGUCAACUUUGUCACCACCACUCUCUCUCCACCACUCCCACACCCUGCAGGGGCCAGGUGUGUGGGUGGGGAGCUCCCCAGCUGGAGGCCAGAUUAGAGGUCUCUGUGUGGUGGGGAUGGGGAGGAUGGGGUGGGAAUGAGGUGGUAGGCCACUGGCAGUGGUCCAAGUUCCAUCCAGGAUCUGUCCUAGGCCUCUCCCCAGGCUGUCGCUUCCACCAUUGAAUUUCUAACCUGGAUCUCUAAGGUUAUGAAUAUCUCAUUCCCGCAUCCUGGGGUGCUCAGACAUGUCUCCCCUGAGUCUCUAGCUGGGCUCGUGGCUGUGAUCAUUGUCCUCAGAGUUCCAUCCUCCCAACAAAGGGACAGAAGAAACACAGGGCCCACUUUUCUGGAUUCUGAGUUGGAGCCAAGAAAUUCUAUCUGCUGCUUCCUUCCUGUUGAAUUAUCCCCCAAGGACCCCUUAGUCCCUCCAGUCUCCUCCAGAGGCCUAUAGCUGCCCCAGCUCCCCAUGAUGGAUACCUGGCUCUUUCCUACCCAGAGGAAAACGCAGGCCCUUCCCCAGCCCUGCACUGAACUCCUGUGAGUGGCUGAGGAGAUGAGGAGGUGUGAAGAGUGAGUGUGUUGGGGAGGGAGGGGUCCCCUGCCACCAGGUACCAAGGACUUCUGCCAGAUCACCAGAACUGACACCUGGUUCCACCGGCCAGCUGUGAAGUGUCGGCCCUGACAUCAACAGCUGACCUCCCACAGGGCCUAAGGAAACGGAAUUGUGG